UACGAGGGGGGCGAGCGUUGUUCGGAAUUAUUGGGCGUAAAGGAUGCGUAGGCGGUUUGGUAAGUCUGAUGUGAAAUCUAUGGGCUCAACUCAUAGUCUGCAUCGGAAACUGCCGGGCUUGAGUGUGGGAGAGGUGAGUGGAAUUCCUGGUGUAGCGGUGAAAUGCGUAGAGAUCCGGAGGAACACCAGUGGCGAAGGCGACACGCUGGGUCACACCUGACGCUAAAACGCGACAGCAUGGGGAGCAAACGGG
rnacentral:rRNA from 1 species